AUGCAGCUCCAUUUUUAAAACUAAUUGUUGCCACAGAUAGGCGACUACAUCUCUGGAAGCAGCAGCUCCAUGCUGGAUGUGGUGGAAGAAUCUAGAGGGAAUGGACUGGAAGUUUGGAAUCACCGGAAAAUAACAAGGCAUAGCUAAGCUGUGACUAGCAAGAUAAACGAUUUGUUCGAGGUUUGAUUGUCCUUUCCCUCCUCCAUUCGGAAGACAUAGUUGUCUUUUUUUUCAAUAAUGUUUUGUACCGAAAUAUUUUUAUUUUACAAUUGAAUCCCUGUUGUUCGGCCUUUAAAAACACAUAGAAACAUUGUUAUGUGCCACGAGGGUGGGAAACAUGGCUUUACUCAGUCAUUGCUGUACUCUCAUAAUUCUGGGUCAUGCACACAAUACAGGUUUAGUAAAUAAAAUCCGUAUGUUUUUGGCCCCA
rnacentral:lncRNA from 1 species